UACGUAGGGUGCGAGCGUUGUCCGGAAUUAUUGGGCGUAAAGAGCUUGUAGGCGGUCUGUCGCGUCUGCUGUGAAAAUCCGGGGCUCAACCCCGGACUUGCAGUGGGUACGGGCAGACUAGAGUGUGGUAGGGGAGACUGGAAUUCCUGGUGUAGCGGUGAAAUGCGCAGAUAGUCAGGAGGAACACCGGUGGCGAAGGCGGGUCUCUGGGCCGAAACU
rnacentral:rRNA from 1 species